CAAAAAGUUCUACUUAGAACUACCAAAUUUUCAAAUGAUACCUCU
rfam:Ictidomys tridecemlineatus contig014097, whole genome shotgun sequence.